rnacentral:rRNA from 1 species
AAGCAUAUCAAUAAGCGGAGGAAAAGAAACCAACCGGGAUUGCCUCAGUAACGGCGAGUGAAGCGGCAAAAGCUCAAAUUUGAAAUCUGCGUAAGCCGAGUUGUAAUUUGAAGAUGGCUACUUUGGUAAUGGCUCUUGUCUAUGUUCCUUGGAACAGGACGUCACAGAGGGUGAGAAUCCCGUGCGAUGAGAUGUCCAUUACCGUGUAAAGUGCUUUCGAAGAGUCGAGUUGUUUGGGAAUGCAGCUCUAAGUGGGUGGUAAAUUCCAUCUAAAGCUAAAUAUUGGCGAGAGACCGAUAGCGAACAAGUACAGUGAUGGAAAGAUGAAAAGAACUUUGAAAAGAGAGUGAAAAAGUACGUGAAAUUGUUGAAAGGGAAGGGCUUGAGAUCAGACUUGGUAUUUUGUAUGGCUUGCUUUCGGGCGGGUCCUCUGCAGUUUACUGGGCCAGCAUCGGUUUGGGUGGCAGGAUAAUAGCAUAGGAAUGUGGCUCUACUUCGGUGGAGUGUUAUAGCCUUUGUUGAUACUGCCUGCCUAGACCGAGGACUGCGUCUUUUGACUAGGAUGCUGGCAUAAUGAUCCUAAGCCGCC